rnacentral:lncRNA from 1 species
GGAUGCUAACCUUGAUGAUUAAAAUAUGUGUUCUUUCCUCGAUGUGAUAUGAUCCCUUAUAUAUAGGUACAAUUUUUUCACCUCCGUCUCAUAACUCCAAAAAUUCUGCAAAUAACAUUCUACCUCUUUUUUUUUGAUUGGGUGAUACGAGAUAAUUAGAUUUUUUGAAGAUCUUAACACUAUUCUAAAACAAACAGGUUGAUCCAAUAGUUUGAUCGAUCAAGUCUGCUACAAUUUCUACCACAACAUGUUAUGGCUG